GUAACAAUUGAGACGACAUAUUAACAUAUAUUCAGUGAUUUUCGGCCAUAUGGAACAUAAUAAGAACAAUGGACGAUGUGUGAUUUGUGGAUGUGAUGAGAACCAAGCUCGUCUUCACUGAAUGAUAUAAUUUCCCAAACAGAUGUCUGGUUUCAAGGCAUGAUAAACCUUUGGUCAUCGCCAUAUCGAAAGUAUAUUUGAUACAAAUUAAAUUAAAUAUCACACAACAGAUCGGUCCAUGGGACUGGCUUUACAAAAUCAGUUGUUUUUGUACAUUCUGAAAGAACUAAGUUUAUAUGUCUUAAAUGUUUUUAUGACCUAGUAACUGUAAAAAAAAUAUGUUCAGAAUGUACUCAUUUAAGGUGGAAUGUAAUUGUUAUUUUUUCAAAACUAUUUUGACUACAGCCGACGAUAACCAUCCACCAAUAAAUAUAUGAUUGUAGACAUACCA